rnacentral:rRNA from 1 species
UACGUAGGGUGCGAGCGUUGUCCGGAAUUAUUGGGCGUAAAGGGCUCGUAGGCGGUUUGUCGCGUUGUUCGUGAAAUCUCACGGCUUAACUGUGAGCGUGCGGGCGAUACGGGCAGACUAGAGUACUGCAGGGGAGACUGGAAUUCCUGGUGUAGCGGUGGAAUGCGCAGAUAUCAGGAGGAACACCGGUGGCGAAGGCGGGUCUCUGGGCAGUAACUGACGCUGAGGAGCGAAAGCGUGGGGAGCGAACAGG